ensembl:lncRNA
CAGCAAUGUGCCGCAAGGCAUCCAGCCUGCCGGAAAUUCAGAAGAAGAAGAAGAAGAAGCAGGAAGAGCUCAGCGCUGCCUCCCAGAGAAGCUAAUGUGCAGUCGGGGUGUAAGUACCUGCUUUAAACAACGAUAUAUGGCACAAUUCUUAACUUCUACCACCCAAUACCAACACAUUAUUAUCGUUACAAGUCCUCAUUUUUGCUGCAUUUAAUCAUAGGUUACUGUUUAUGUUGUUAGGUAGGAGUUCGCUGACGUUUUUUCUAGCUAGCAAACGCUCCAGGUGGUCAGUGUCUGUUUGAGCUGCUGUUGUGUCAAGUGCAUGUGUUCAUAUUAAAGCCAAGGUGCUACUGACUAGCUAACUGACUGGAUGCACAUUAACAUUAGAACUCCUAUUGUGUGUGUGUGUGUGUGUGUGUGUGUGUGUGUGUGUGUGUGUGUGUGUGUGUGUGUGUGUGUGUGUGUGUGUCUGUCUGUCUGUCUGUCUGUCUGUCUGUCUGUCUGUCUGUCUGUCUGUCUGUCUGUCUGUCUGUCUGUCUGUCUGUGUGUGUGUGUGUGUGUGUGUGUCUGUGUGUGUAUGUGUGUGUGUGUGUACAGACAGACAGACAGACAGACAGACAGCCUCAUCAUGGACACCGAAAAGUUGUAAGAAAAAAUGAAAGCUGCUACCAGCCUCUCGCUUUUACAAAGUAUUUUUCAUGGUUAUUUUUUGGCUCUUUAACCCAAUAGGAAAGCUGUAUAUGACCUUUUCAUUUUGGACUGUUAACAUUCAAAUUAUGAUGGACUUGUUUCCUUGUUUAUGUGAAUUACAGCAUCAUUAGCUGCAACAUCUGCCUGUUCUGUAAAACUGGUAGCUCAACGACAGCAUCCUGAGGGCAAUUAAGUGACAAAUAUUGUGCAAGAACAGCAUGAUUACAACCCUGUCAAUUUCCACUUCUUAGAAUGUUUACUGUCAAUUAUCACACAUAAAACAAGAAAUAAUAUUCUGUACUUUUACCAGCCAGUUCUCAGCUGUAAACCAUAAACAUCACAGGGUUCUGUAUGCUACUCAGUCUAAAUCAGAAUGAGUACUACCCAAUACACAGUGAAUAAAUAUUAUCUGAAAGUCGGGUUAUUGUUGUUUAUCAGCACAAUACAAAAAGAUUCAUGUUAGACGUAUUCCAGUUAAGACUCUAGAAUAUCAUGAUUUAUGUAAAUUUAACUCAGUAAUAUGAAUAUUCAGGUUAA